UACAGAGGGGGCAAGCGUUAUUCGGAAUUAUUGGGCGUAAAGGGCGCGUAGGCGGCUUGGCAAGUGGAUGGUGAAAUCCCUCGGCUUAACCGAGGAACUGCCGUCCAAACUGCUUUGCUUGAGACCGGGAGAGGUGAGUGGAACUGCGAGUGUAGAGGUGAAAUUCGUAGAUAUUGGGAAGAACACCAGUGGCGAAGGCGGCUCACUGGCCCGUAACUGACGCUGAGGUGCGAAAGCGUGGGGAGCAAACAGG
rnacentral:rRNA from 1 species